ACCUACGGGGGGCAGCAGUGGGGAAUAUUGCGCAAUGGACGAAAGUCUGACGCAGCGACGCCGCGUGAGGGGUGAAGGUUUUCGGAUCGUAAACCUCUGUCAGGAGGGAAGAAAGCGCAUGGCGCCAAUCAGCCAUGCGUUGACGGUACCUCCAAAGGAAGCGCCGGCUAACUCCGUGCCAGCAGCCGCGGUAAUACGUAGGGAGCGAGCGUUAUCCGGAUUUAUUGGGUGUAAAGGGUGCGUAGACGGGAAAAUAAGUUAGUUGUGAAAUCCCUCGGCUCAACUGAGGAACUGCAACUAAAACU
rnacentral:rRNA from 1 species